UACGUAGGGGGCUAGCGUUGUCCGGAAUCAUUGGGCGUAAAGCGCGUGUAGGCGGCUCGGUAAGUCUGCUCUGAAAGCCCGGGGCUCAACCCUGGGAGGCGGGUGGAUACUGUCGAGCUCGAGUCCGGAAGAGGCGAGUGGAAUUCCUGGUGUAGCGGUGAAAUGCGCAGAUAUCAGGAGGAACACCAAUGGCGAAGGCAGCUCGCUGGGACGGUACUGACGCUGAGACGCGAAAGCGUGGGGAGCAAACAGG
rnacentral:rRNA from 1 species